AUCAUCAUGAUGCACUGUUAUGGCGCCCUCUAUAGGCAACCCAGCUCUUCUAAUUUAAAAGUUGCUGCAUUUGUGAUGAUUUUCAUCUUGACUGGGGAUGGUUUUUCCAGCAUCAUUUGUUAGACUAUUCUUACCUCCAUGGUGAUUCUUGGCGCCAUUGUCAAAGGCCAGCUGACUGUAUAUGUUAACCCUGGGACUUCUGUAAUAUUGGAUCAUACUGAUAAACCUAAUUUCUGACAAAUUCUUCCUCAUCCAAUUCAUGCUCCCCAUUCUGAACACCAGCAUCAUGCAUCCUUUGCUCUGUUCUAGGCACAACAAUCAAAAGUGCUUAUUCCCAAACUGGACCUGACUUCAGCCAGAGCAUUGCUGGGACAUAUAUAAAUCUACGUUUAAUAUUUGAAGACUUGCCAGACUGUUUCCUAAAACACCUGCAGCAUUUUACAUUCCCACCAGCAAAGUACGAAAAGCUUCCAAUUUCUCUACAUCCUCACCGACAAUCAGUUUUUUAUUUUAAAUGCUAUAGUUACAAAGAAAAGUUUUAGAAUGAAUUAAUGCUGUGAUUUUAAUCACAAAGAUUAAUUUUGCAAUAAAAAUCCCUGAUAAUUAUGAUUAUAAUAUGUCACCGUGAGAUUCCCUAUGCAGAGGCCCAUGUGGCAACAAACUGAUGUGUCCUUCCAACAACCAGGCCUGAGACCUCACAAGACCCAACUGGAUCUCCCAGACAGAGCAGGCAGAACACCAUUUCUGCUGCCCCACAGCCCUCAAAGUUGUUACUCCCCGACUCUGGAAGGUUCUCAGUGACUAGAGACUGGUGCGGACCCCCAGCACAGUGUAGCCACCCCCAUGAAAACGUGGGAACCCUCAAGAGACAACUGAAAAAAUCUCUCUCACA
rnacentral:lncRNA from 1 species